CCUACGGGAGGCAGCAGUAGGGAAUCUUUCACAAUGGGCGAAAGCCUGAUGGAGCAACGCCGCGUGCAGGAUGAAGGCCUUCGGGUUGUAAACUGCUUUUAUAAGCGAGAAAUAUGAUGGUAACUUAUGAAUAAGGAUCGGCUAACUACGUGCCAGCAGCCGCGGUCAUACGUAGGAUCCGAGCAUUAUCCGGAGUGACUGGGUGUAAAGAGUUGCGUAGGUGGCAUAAUAAGUAGCUAGUGGAAUCUGGUGGCUCAACCAUUCAGACUAUUAGCUAAACUGUUAAGCUCGAGACCGUUAGGGGUAACUGGAAUGUCUAGUGUAGGAGUGAAAUCCGUAGAUAUUAGGAGGAACACCAAUAGCGUAGGCAGGUUGCUGGGACGGUUCUGACACUAAGGCACGAAAGCGUAGGGAGCAAACGGGAUUAGAUACCCCAGUAGUC
rnacentral:rRNA from 1 species